rnacentral:rRNA from 1 species
GACGAACGCUGGCGGCGUGCUUAACACAUGCCAGUCGAACGGAAAGGCCCUGCUUUUGUGGGGUGCUCGAGUGGCGAACGGGUGAGUAACACGUGAGUAACCUGCCCUUGACUUUGGGAUAACUUCAGGAAACUGGGGCUAAUACCGGAUAGGAGCUCCUGCUGCAUGGUGGGGGUUGGAAAGUUUCGGCGGUUGGGGAUGGACUCGCGGCUUAUCAGCUUGUUGGUGGGGUAGUGGCUUACCAAGGCUUUGACGGGUAGCCGGCCAGGGAGGGUGACCGGCUAAAUGGGGAAUGAGAUACGGCAGGGAGUGGGAGGGGCGGGAGAAGUGGGGAAUAAGGCAAAAUGGGAGGAGGCGUGAGGCAGUAACGCCGCGGGCGGGAGGAGGGAAUUGGGGGUGGAAACAGCAUUAGCGGGGGACGAAGCGGGAGUGACGGUAAUGGGUAAAGAAGAACCGGCUAACGACGUG